GGGUGCAUAGGUUGGUGUGUGUAAGCAGGCGUGUCUUCAGACACAGGAAAGAGGUACCGUCCUAAGCCCACCGGUGGUCACCAGGCCCGCUGGAGGGAGAGAAGGGACACAGCCAGGUUACUGUGAAUUAACUCCACAGGGCUGUUGGACAGUUGAUCUGAUUUCUGCUGGAUAAACGUGGUGACUGCGAAGAUGUUUUUCUGCAUCCCACGGCUGACACCUGGGUACAUCAGAUACUUGAAGGAAGAAGUGGUUCUGACAGUCGCUCAAGUAAGAUGGAAGACCGUUCUCCAGAAUGUUGACUCAGGCUGUCCAGACGAGGCUGAAGAGACGGGAAGUCCCCAUUAUUCACCGGAUUGCCAUGUUUCUAGGGCUGAUGGGAAUUGGGAUGUCCGGGUACAGUUCGCGACAGCUCACCCUGCACUACAAGCCCUAUGCUAAAUUGCUGAGAUGAGACAAAAGGCUUCUGACUUAUCAUUCUACAUCUGUCCCUGAAAUGACAACAACAUGGAUGACAUGGAUAUGGUGCAGUGAUCAAACACCCAUGACUCCACUUACACCAAACGAAUAGUUGUCUCUCUUACUAAAAUGUUUUUUAGUAAGAGACCCAAAUCAAUUUUAGUGUGACCCAAGACCCUUUAGUUUUAAAUUUGGGAUGAACAAAGUCUGUUCCACAUGCCUUAAUUUUCCACAUGCAAAGUCAAUGACCCUGAUUAUUAUUUCCUUUAAGAAAACUAUUUCAAAUCCUUUCCCUUUCAAACAAUUACAUUUAGUUUUGCCAACACAUUUCCACCCAUUCGUAGGGAUGGUUUGAACCAUUUUACAUUGAGAUAUAGUAAGGAUGUUUCCUUUAAUUGCUUACAUCCUGAACUUUAACAACAUCUUUUUUCAUCCUUUGCCUUAAAGAGGGCAAUCUGUUAAAAACAUAAAAUGAUGUUAGCUUACAUUUGCACAAGACCAAAACAAAUAAUCAUUGCAAUGACAUUCAAACCUGCCAAAAUCCCAUAGUCCACUUUUUAUUCUCUUAUUGCUGUUUGGCAUUUUUAGCUAAACACCUGUGUCAUCAGGAAAUUUGACAGUGUUUUCACAGGAAAGAGCAAAUUCACUGUAUCCAAAGUUCCUCAAGGAGAGAGAAAAUCUUAAUUGUAGUAUCUUGGAACUCAGCAGUCUAAGCAGAGAUGCCCAGACUUCCCUCUCCCCAGACACUUCCUCCAGCUCUUCCGGGGGGACACCGAGGUGUUCCCAGGCCAGCCGGGAGACAUAGUCCCUCCAGCGUGUUCUAGGUCUUCCCCGGGGUCUCCUCCCGGUGGGACGGGACCGGAACACCUUCCCAGGAAGGCGUUCCGGAGGCAUCCGAAACAGAUGCCCAAGCCACCUCAGCUGACCCCUCUCGAUGUGGAGGAGCAGCGGCUCUACUCUGAGCUCCUCCCGGGUGACCGAGCUUCUCACCCUAUCUCUAAGGGAUCGCCCAGCCACCCUACGGAGAAAGCUCAUUUCGGCCGCCUGUAUCCAGGAUCUUGUCCUUUCGGUCAUUUAUUUUUUCACUUACAAACAAAUCAUGCUCCACACUUGCAUAGCAAAUGCUCAACUAUGAGAACCAAGGGCUUUUCGAAAGAGCUAAGGUACAAAGUUGUGGAAAAGAAAGACCAUGAAUAUCUCUUUGAACAUGUUGAAGAUAAUUAAGAAGUGGAAUGUAUAUGGCAUCACCCAAACCCUAACUAAAUCAAGCCGCCCUUCAAAAUACAUAACGAAUAUAUGACAAAGGAAGUUGGUGACUAUUCAGAGAGGUUAUCAAAAGGUCAAUGGCAACUGUGACUGAACUUUUGUGGCCAAAACUGGGAACGUGCAAAUCUGACAACAAUUUCCCAACUGUAUUUGGUGUGAAAUCGCGAGCCAGUUAGCAGUCUGAGCUGUUAGCAUUUCAAUUGGUUAUGUGCUCUAAAACCAAAUAGUUGUUUCCCUUGUCAAAUAAGGGCCACAUAAUUUGUGGGGUAAUGGUAACAAUGCUUUGUGGAGGACAGUUUUCAUUGUGUUCUGGAGGACCUCUGGUUCAUGUAGGACAGUGUAGAAAGUGAGACAUUGACCCAGAUCGCUCAGUGAGGGUCUGCCAGUUAUGCCAUGGAUGUUGUUGAAAAGGAUGAGGUCAAAGGGGGGUGAGUGUCUAACUGGUGUGAAAAGUCUAGCCAUUUAGUGUGAAUGCUGUUCAAUCGGUUUAGCAAAGGCAUUCAAGUAGUUGUUUCCCGUAGUUUUUGCGGUGUGAUGAUAACUAUGUUUGUGGUGUUUCCUUUUUUGGGGUCAUUGUGUUCACAUGGCUUCUGGUGUGUUCCCAAGCAGGGGGCAGUAAGGCAGUGCUAGAAGCAACUGUUACACAAGUACUCCAGACUGUAUGGCAGGGUGGCAAGAAAGAAGCCAUUUUAUACAGAAACAAGAGGUAGAGAGGUGGAAAAACUCAAAGGAUAAACCGCUGGGACUAGGUGAGGUGGUGUCGACAGGGUUGCCUCAUGGUGGCAGUUUUGGAUGGGAUUGGGAUGGUUAAUCAGGGAUGGCAUCUGCUCCCUCUCCUCUCCGGGCCUUUGUUCCUCCUCUGUGGACUAGGACUGUGGGUCACAAUUUACAGCCAAAC
ensembl:lncRNA